GGCCACCCUAGUAGGGCGUUUCCAGCGGGGAACAAACGGACGGGGGGCUAUAACCUAAGGGUAGGCAAUCGCCUGCCUCACAAAACGGAAGACAGAA
rnacentral:ncRNA from 1 species